UCGACUAUACUUGAACAGGAUCGUUCUAUAGUUGGUACACCUAGUCUGUAUUCCUCAAUUCAGACAAGCUCCUCAGGAUGGAUGGCGAUUCACAGUGGACUCGCCUGAGCGUGAUGUCUGCCCGCUGACUGCCGGUGCCCUCGUGGCCUGGUGCGCGUGUGCGAGAUGAGUGCCUGCCAGUGUCACAUUCCGACCUGGCGGACGGCAAGCCCACAUUCCGACAUCCU
rnacentral:snoRNA from 1 species